rnacentral:rRNA from 1 species
GACGACGCUGGCGGCGUGCUUAACACAUGCAAGUCGAACGGACGAGUGAGAUAAGUUUACUUAACUCACAAGUUAGUGGCGGACGGGUGAGUAACACGUGGAUAAUCUACCUGCAACACCGGGAUAACGCUGUGAAAACGGUGCUAAUACCGGAUACGUUCCCUUGUGCGCAUGUAUGAGGGAAGAAAGCUCAGGCGGUUGCAGAUGAGUCCGCGGCUGAUUAGCUAGUUGGUGAGGUAAAGGCUCACCGAGGCGAUGAUCAGUAGCCGGCCUGAGAGGGUGAACGGCCACACUGGGACUGAGACACGGCCCAGACUCCUACGGGAGGCAGCAGUGGGGAAUCUUCCGCAAUGGGCGCAAGCCUGACGGAGCAACGCCGCGUGGGUGAAGAAGGCCUUCGGGUUGUAAAGCCCUGUCUUAUGGGAAGAAGUCAGUGACGGUACCAUAGGAGGAAGCCACGGCUAACUACGUG